rnacentral:rRNA from 1 species
UACAGAGGUCUCAAGCGUUGUUCGGAUUCAUUGGGCGUAAAGGGCGCGUAGGCUGCGGGGCAAGUCGGGUGUGAAAUCUCAGAGCUCAACUCUGAAACUGCACUCGAUACUGCUUUGCUUGAGGACUGGAGAGGAGAUUGGAAUUCACGGUGUAGCAGUGAAAUGCGUAGAUAUCGGAAGGAACAUCAGUGGCGAAAGCGACUUCCUGGACCAGUACCGACGUUCAGGCACGAAAGCGUGGGGAGCAAACAGG